rnacentral:rRNA from 1 species
GAUGAACGCUAGCUACAGGCUUAACACAUGCAAGUCGAGGGGCAGCGGGGAUCUAGCUUGCUAGAUUUGCCGGCGACCGGCGCACGGGUGAGUAACACGUAUCCAACCUGGCCCAUACUCGGGUAUAGCCUCUCGAAAGGGAGAUUAAUCCCCGAUGUUGUUGCGAUUCCGCAUGGUGUUGCAACCAAAGAGCUUCGGUAUGGGAUGGGGAUGCGUUCCAUUAGCUUGUUGGAGGGGUAACGGCCCACCAAGGCGACGAUGGAUAGGGGUUCUGAGAGGAAGGUCCCCCACACUGGAACUGAGACACGGUCCAGACUCCUACGGGAGGCAGCAGUAAGGAAUAUUGGGCAAUGGAGGCAACUCUGACCCAGCCAUGCCGCGUGAAGGAAGAAGGCCCUACGGGUCGUAAACUUCUUUUGUCAGGGAUAAAGUCAUCCACGCGUGGAUGUUUGCAGGUACCUGAAGAAUAAGCAUCGGCUAACUCCGUGCCAGCAG